rnacentral:rRNA from 1 species
CAUCUUUCUUCUCUUCCCCAAGCCGAAGGGAAGAAUCCCUUUCUCCUCUCUUCUCCAGCCAGCCUACUCCCUCCUCCCUUCCUUCCCCACUCCUCCCCAGGUGCCUCCUUGCUGCACCACGCCCUUCACCACCUCCAUGGCUGCCCUUUGAUUUAGGGCUUUGAGGAAGAAGGAAAGGAGACAAGAAGAGGGAGAACAAGAAAGCUUCCCCAACUUUUCCCUUCACCAAAUCUUUGUGAUUUGACCAUAGAGGGCGGCGACGGUGUCUGGUACAUUGACUCUGGCGCUACGGACCACGUGACCAAUGAGCUCGAGCAGCUUGCCCUUCAUGAGCGCUAUCAUGGCAACGGCCAGAUUCACACCGCAAGCGAUGGAGGAUCGGGCAACGGGGGAACUCCUUCAUCACGGUAGAUGCGUUGGAGGGCUCUACCCCAUUCCAUCCGGAGCACUAGGUCGCAAGCGUCGUCAAGUCUACUCCGUCAUCAAGCCCUUUUUGGCACGGUGGCAUCAACGAUUAGGGCAUUCAUCUUCGAUCAUCGUCAAACAAAUAGUCAAUAAAGACAAUCUUCUUUUGUCUCAUAGUCCAAAUAGUGAGUCCAUGUGUGAAGCUUGUCAAUGUGCCAAGAGCCAUCAGCUUCCUUAUCCCAAGUCAACUAGUGUGUCUCAUGCUUUGUUAGAACUUAUUUUCAGUGAUGUAUGGGGUCAUGCCAGAGAUUCUUUUGAUAGAAAAAAAUAUUAUGUCAGUUUUAUGGAUGAUUAUAACAAGUUUACUUGGAUAUAUUUGCUUUCAGAAACUUGUUGAGCGACAAUUUGAUAUAAUUUUUUUUUCAGUCCAAAGUGACUGGGGAGGGGAGUAUGAGAAACUCAACUUUUUUUUCGUAGCAUUGGGAUAACCCAUCAUGUAUCUUGUCCUCAUGCUCAUCAACAAAAUAGCUUUGCUGAGCGCAAACAUCGCCACAUUGUUGAAGUUGGCCUCUCUCUUUUAGCUGAUGCAUCCAUGCCUCUUAAAUAUUGGGAUGAAGCUUUUAUCACCGCCACUUAUCUUAUUAAUCAUCCUCCCAGUAGAGUCAUUGGCAACUCUACCCCUUUAGAGCGAUUGUACAAGCGAAAACCUGAUUAUAACUAUCUCAAAACUUUUGUAUGUGCUUAAUAUCCUAAUCUGCGUCCUUACAAUCGUCACAAGCUUGAGUUUCAGUCCACACAAUGUGUCUUCCUUGGCUAUAGCAACCUUCACAAAGGCUAUAAGUGUCUUGAAAUUGUUACUGGACGCAUCUAUAUAUCUCGAGAUGUUGUUUUUGAUGAAACCGUCUUUCCGUUUUCCAAACUUCAUCCAAAAGCCGGCGCCUUGCUUCGUGCUGAAAUUGCUCUUCUACCGACUAUGUUUCGCUUCCUGAUCACGGGGGUGCAUUAAUUGAACCUGAUUAUGUUGAUAUAUAUGCUAAUUCAGGGUGUCAUUUUAUGUACGAGGAAACAAACAAAGCAGGCGCGGAAAAUCAUGCUGAUCUAGUUGACAGCGACAGAUCCGAGGCUGAUUCGCCCGCCAGGCCUGCCUCCGCUGACGGCGUGCGAUCCCAGGCGGAUCCUUUACCCGUGCGCGUGGCCACAUGCGGGCUGGUGGCCGACAGCUCCGACCGGGUGGACCGCACCAGUCCUGCCGCACCCACGCGCCCAUGCGACGACAGUCUCGCCAGCCCAGGUGCGGGAGAGGGCCAGUCGCCCGCCGUCACGUCUCUACGGGACCAGGCAGACCGCGGGUGCGCGGCCGAGUCGCCCGCUGCCACGUCUCUGCGGGUCCAGGCAGACCGCGGGUGCGCGGCCGACCGCACGCGUGAGGCCGGAUCUGCCUCGGAUCAGGAGCCGGCUGGCUCGCUGAUUGCCUUGGAUCGCGAGAGGAUCAGAUCCUCUGUGGCUGAUUCAGCUUCGUUAGGAUCGCGUGUGCCCUCUACCACAACAGCUGCUCUUGUGCCCUCUACGCCCUUUCUUCGAAAUACACGGUCUCGGUCAGGUAUUGUCAAGGAAAAACAAUAAAAUGAUGGUACAAUAAGGUAUGACAAAUUAAAACGGGCUUUUCUUACCACUACCGGUGAACCAAAUCACUUGCAUGAUGCUCUUGCUAAUAAGGAGUGGAAGGAAGCUAUGGAUAAUGAGUAUAAUGCACUUACGAAAAAUAAGACUUGGCAUUUAGUACCACCAAAACAUGGGAACAAUAUUAUUGAUUGUAAAUGGUUAUAAAAGAUAAAAAGAAAGUCUGAUGGAAGCAUAGACAGGUAUAAGGCAAGAAUAGUUGCAAAAGGGUUUAAACAGAGGUUUGAAAUUGAUUAUGAAGAUACUUUAGCCCUGUUGUUAAGUCAGCUACUAUUCGACUUGUCUUGUCUAUUGCAAUUUCCAGAGGUUGGAGUUUAAGACAGCUAGAUGUCCAGAACGCAUUUCUUCAUGGUGUUCUUGAGGAAGAAGUGUUCAUGCGGCAGCCACCAGGGUAUGAGAAUCAAAGCACACCACAGUAUGUUGUAAGUUGGAUAAAGCUCUGUAUGGUUUGAAACAAGCCCCAAGAGCUUGGUAUUCCAGAUUAAGCAUGCAGUUACAAAAUCUUGGGUUCACACCGUUUAAGGCAGAUACUUCUUUAUUCUUUUAUAACAAAGGCAAUGUCACUAUCUUUGUGCUUGUGUUAUGUUGAUGAUAUAAUUGUUUCCAGUUCAAGCUCAGAUGCUACUACCUGCUUACUUAAGGAUGUGAAGCUAGAAUUUGCUCUCAAGGACUUGGGUGACCUUCACUAUUUUCUUGGUAUAGAGGUAAAAAAAUUAAAGAUGGUAUACUUUUUUCCCAAGAAAAAUAUACUACUGAUAUUCUCAGAAGUGUAGGAUUGGAACAUUGCAAGCCAAUAAGUACACCAAUUUCUACCUCAGAAAAGCUUACAGUUGAAAGUGGAGAAGCACUUGCGUCAGAAGAUGCAACAAAUUAUAGAAGUGUUGUAGGUGCUUUACAGUAUUUAACACUUACACGUCCUGAUAUUUCCUAUUCAGUAAAUAAGGUCUGCCAAUACUUGCAUGCGCCCAGAACCACUCAUUGUACUGCAGUGAAGAGAAUUCUUAGAUAUCUCAAGUUUUCAGAAGGGCUUGGGCUUCAGAUUAUUAAGUCUUCUUCUAUGCUUGUUACUGCUUAUUUUGAUGCUGACUGGGUAGGGUGUGCUGAUGACAGAAGGUCUACAGGUGGUUUUGUUGUUUUCUGGGAACAAAUCUUGUGUCUUGGAGUGCAAGAAAGCAAGCAACUGUUUCUAGGUCAAGUACAAAAGCUGAAUACAAGGCUUUAGCAAAUGCAAUGGCUGAAGUAAUGUGGAUACAAACAUUACUCUAUGAGCUUGGAAUUAAGGCUCCACUGUCUGCGAGGUAAUGGUGUGACAAUAUUGGUACAACCUAUCGCUCAGCCAAUCAGGUCUUUCAUGCACACACAAAAGCACAUUGAGGUUGAUUUUCAUUUUGUCAGAGAAAGAGUAACUCGAAAGCUACUGGAUAUUCGGUUUAUACCUACUGGAGAUCAACUUGCUAAUGGGUUUACAAAACCUCUUACCAUGAGAAGGUUGGACGAGUUCAAGUACAACUCAACCUUAGCAAAGUUUUAUAAGGUUCAGGUUGAGGGGGAGUGUUAGAAUAGUUGGUUAGAGAUAGGGUUGUAUAGGGAUAGAUAUCUGUUUAAACCUUGUACCCUUCUCUAUCUCUUCUUCUGUUAUCUCUCUUCUCCUGAUCCUCCUGUAACGAUCGUUCUCCGCAACGAUCUCUCAAUCUCGUCUUGUAAGCCACGACAUCCUUUCUAUAUAUACAAGUGCGGCCCGAGACAAAGGGUUCAAUGC